UACGGGGGGGGGCAAGCGUUGUUCGGAAUUACUGGGCGUAAAGGGCUCGUAGGUGGCCAACUAAGUCAUACGUGAAAUCCCUCAGCUUAACUGGGGAACUGCGUCUGAUACUGGAUGGCUUGAGUUUGGGAGAGGGAUGCGGAAUUCCAGGUGUAGCGGUGAAAUGCGUAGAUAUCUGGAGGAACACCGGUGGCGAAGGCGGCAUCCUGGACCAACACUGACACUGAUGAGCGAAAGCCAGGGGAGCAAACGGG
rnacentral:rRNA from 1 species